AAGACUAUACUUUCAGGGAUCAUUUCUAUAGUUUGUUACUAGAGAAGUUUCGAAAACCAUAACUCAAAAACAGU
rnacentral:snoRNA from 1 species